rnacentral:rRNA from 1 species
UACAGAGGGUGCGAGCGUUGUUCGGAAUUAUUGGGCGUAAAGGGCGCGUAGGCGGCGCCACAAGUCACUUGUGAAAACUCUGGGCUCAACUCAGAGCCUGCAAGCGAAACUGUGGUGCUGGAGUAUGGGAGAGGUGCGUGGCGAAUUCCCGGUGUAGCGGUGAAAUGCGUAGAUAGUCGGAGGAACACCUGUGGCGAAAGCGGCGCACUGGACCAUAACUGACGCUGAGGCGCGAAAGCUAGGGGAGCAAACAGG